rnacentral:rRNA from 1 species
UACGUAGGGGGCAAGCGUUGUCCGGAUUUAUUGGGCGUAAAGAGCGUGUAGGCGGCUUGACAGGUCUGCUGUGAAAACUCGAGGCUUAACCUCGAGCUGUCGGCGGAAACCAUCUGGCUAGAGUCCGGAAGAGGAGAAUGGAAUUCCCGGUGUAGCGGUGAAAUGCGCAGAUAUCGGGAAGAACACCCGUGGCGAAGGCGGUUCUCUGGGACGGUACUGACGCUGAGACGCGAAAGCGUGGGGAGCGAACAGG